UGAAGAAUAUCAGUCUGGUGCAGCCCUAGCA
rnacentral:piRNA from 1 species